CCCAGGAGGCAAGAACCCAGGAAAGAGUCAGCUGGUGUAUACCAUCUCCUUUCUUGUCUUAACUGUCUCUUGCUGCCAUCCUCCCAAACUUCUACAAUGGCUGUCCUUCAACGCUGGUUCUCUUUUCUGGUCCUUUCCUGCUGUGUGGCUUUAUUGCUGCCACCAAAUGUACAGGCCAUAAAGAAGCCAGUUUAUCCUGGAAAGGAUGCUACCCCAGAGCAGUUGGAACAGUUUCUGAAAGACCUGCAAUUAUAUUUGAACCAAUUAACUCGUCAAAGGUAUGGGAAGAGAGCAGAGGACGAGAGAUUCUAUGAAGAUGGGGUAGAUUUCUUGGAGUAGGUGGUUCUGCUGCAGCAAUCCAGGACAUCCCAUCAGCUAAGUUUUCACUGCUUCUGCUUCAUUAUCCUUUCCCUGUUUCCAGAAGCCUGCAGAGAGUCCUGGCUCCAACUCUGUAACUCUUGCAAAAAGUGAAUUAAAAAAUAUUAAAAAUAA